rnacentral:rRNA from 1 species
GAUUAAAACUCAAAGGAAUUGACGGGGACCCGCCCAAGCAGUGGAGUAUGUGGUUUAAUUCGAAGCAACGCGAAGAACCUUACCAGCUCUUGACAUCCCAAUGAAAGUAUUAGAGAUAGUACCCCUCUUCGGAGCAUUGGAGACAGGUGGUGCAUGGUUGUCGUCAGCUCGUGUCGUGAGAUGUUGGGUUAAGUCCCGCAACGAGCGCAACCCUUGAUCUUAGUUGCCAGCAGGUUAAGCUGGGCACUCUAAGGUGACUGCCGGUGACAAACCGGAGGAAGGUGGGGAUGACGUCAAAUCAUCAUGCCCCUUAUGAGCUGGGCUACACACGUACUACAAUGGCCGGUACAACGGGCUGCGAUACCGCGAGGUGGAGCGAAUCCUUAAAAGCCGGUCUCAGUUCGGAUUGCAGGCUGCAACUCGCCUGCAUGAAGUCGGAAUUGCUAGUAAUCGCGGACCAGCAUGCCGCGGUGAAUACCUUCCCGGGUCUUGUACACACCGCCCGUCACACCACGAGAGUUUACAACACCCGAAGUCCGUGGGGUAACCCGCAAGGGAGCCAGCCGCCGAAGGUGGGGUAGAUGAUUGGGGUGAAGUCGUAACAAGGUAACCGUA